rnacentral:misc_RNA from 1 species
UUGAAUAAACUUGAACAGGCUGUUUUGCUGGCCCUUCACUUGGGCAUGUGCACGCUUGUCAUAUUUAUUUCUCCAACUUGUGCACAUAUUGUAGACCUGGGAAGUAUGAUUAAUUUUUCGAGUUGGGAAUUGCUGCGCAGUCAGCUUUUGCCUUGAACAGGUCUAUGUCAUUUUUCACAAACCUCUGAAUUUGUUUAGAACGUUGAAUCAGGUCCUUUUUGGGGUACCUAUAAAGUUGUAA